AAAUUGAAGAGUUUGAUCAUGGCUCAGAUUGAACGCUGGCGGCAGGCCUAACACAUGCAAGUCGAACGGUAACAGAAAGCAGCUUGCUGCUUUGCUGACGAGUGGCGGACGGGUGAGUAAUGUCUGGGAAACUGCCUGAUGGAGGGGGAUAACUACUGGAAACGGUGGCUAAUACCGCAUAACGUCGCAAGACCAAAGAG
rnacentral:rRNA from 1 species